AAUUGGAGGGCAAGUCUGGUGCCAGCAGCCGCGGUAAUUCCAGCUCCAAUAGCGUAUAUUAAAGUUGUUGCAGUUAAAAAGCUCGUAGUUGAAUUUCGGGAUCAAUAUUUCGGUCAUGCCGUUGGUAUGCACUGUUAUCAUUGAUUUCUCACCUUCUAAAGAACCGUAAUGCCAUUAAUUUGGUGUUACGGGGAAUUAGGACUGUUACCUUGAAAAAAUUAGAGUGUUUAAAGCAGGCUCACGCUUGAAUACAUUAGCAUGGAAUAAUGAAAUAGGACAUCCGAUUCUAUUUUGUUGGUUUCUAGGAUCGAUGUAAUGAUUAAUAGGGAUAGUUGGGGGCAUUAGUAUUCAAUUGUCAGAGGUGAAAUUCUUGGAUUUAUUGAAGACUAACUACUGCGAAAGCAUUUGCCAGGGAUGUUUUCAUUAAUCAAGAACGAAAGUUAGGGGAUCGAAGACGAUCAGAUACCGUCGUAGUCUUAACCAUAAACUAUGCCGACUAGGGAUCGGAUGAUGUUAAUUUUUUAAUGACUCAUUCGGCGCCUUACGGGAAACCAAAGUGU
rnacentral:rRNA from 1 species